GGAGUGGAUGGGUCCCGGUGGAUUCCUCGGUCUUCAAAACCGAUGGGGGGCAGCCUUCGUUGUCCUCGGAGGGUUCGACUCCCUUGCACUCCC
rnacentral:tRNA from 1 species